AAGGAAACUGGACCGACCUUCGGGGAGCUUGUACAGGUGCUGCAUGGCUGUCGUCAGCUCGUGUCGUGAGAUGUUCGGUUAAGUCCGCUAACGAGCGCAACCCUCGCUGUGUGUUACAAGUGUCACACGGAACUGCCGGUCAUAAACCGGAGGAAGGUGGGGAUGACGUCAAGUCAGCAUGGCCUUUAUAUCCUGGGCUACACACACGCUACAAUGGGAAGGGACAAUAGGUUGCGAAGCCGCGAGGCGGAGCCAAUCCAGCAAAACUUCCCUCAGUUCAGAUUGCAGGCUGCAACUCGCCUGCAUGAAGUUGGAGUUGCUAGUAAACGCAGGUCAGCCAUACUGCGUUGAAUACGUUCCCGGGGCUU
rnacentral:rRNA from 1 species